rnacentral:rRNA from 1 species
AUUGAACGCUGGCGGCAGGCUUAACACAUGCAAGUCGAACGAGUGGCGGACGGGUGCGUAAUGCUUGGGAAUCUGGCUUCUGGCGGGGGAUAACUACGGGAAACUGUAGCUAAUACCGCGUACCAUAGGAUGAGCCCAAGUGGGAUUAGGUAGUUGGUGGGGUAAAGGCUCACCAAGCAGACGAUCUCUAGCUGGUCUGAGAGGAGGACCAGCCACACUGGGACUGGGACACGGCCCAGACUCCACCGGGAGGCAGCAGUGGGGAAUAUUGCGAAAGGGGGGCAACCGGACGAAGCCCUGCGGCGUGAUUGAGGAGGGCCUUCGGUUGGUAAAGUUCUUUGGGUAGCGAGGCGGUAACUAAAGAGGAAGGACCGGCUAACUCCGUGCCAGCAGCCGCGGUAAUAC